rnacentral:rRNA from 1 species
UUUUUAGAUAAAAAGCCAUGCAUGCUUUUACAGUAUGAAAAUUGGUGAUUUAUAAUAACUUAGCAAAUCGUAAAGUGAAAACAGACGAUAAAUCAUUCAAGUUUCUGACCUAUCAGCUUUCGACGGUAUGGUAUUGGCUUACCGUGGCAGUGACGGUUAACGGGGGAUUAGGGUUCGAUUCCGGAGAGGGAGCCUGAGAAACGGCUACCACAUCUAAGGAAGGCAGCAGGCGCGCAAAUUACCCAAUUCUAACAGUUUGAGAGAGGUAGUAACAAGAAAUAACAAUACAAGGCAGUUAAAAUGCUUUGUAAUUGGAAUGAUAGAAAUUUAAACCCUUUUUAAAGUAUCAAUUGGAGGGCAAGUCUGGUGCCAGCAGCCGCGGUAAUUCCAGCUCCAAUAGCGUAUAUUAAAAUUGUUGCAGUUAAAAAGCUCGUAGUUGAAGUUCUGCUAAAAGUAACCGGUCUGCUUUUAAUAAAAGUGGUAUCUUGGUAUGUAUUUAGCAAUGAUGUCCUUUGAAGUGUUUUUUACUUUAUUGUAAUAAAGCAUAUUCAGGACUUUUACUUUGAGAAAAUUAGAGUGUUUCUAGCAGGCCGACGCUUUGAAUACUGCAGCAUGGAAUAAUAAGA